rnacentral:rRNA from 1 species
GAUGAACGCUGGCGGCGUGCCUAAUACAUGCAAGUCGAGCGAACAGACGAGGAGCUCGCUCCUCUGACGUUAGCGGCGGACGGGUGAGUAACACGUGGAUAACCUACCUAUAAGACUGGGAUAACUUCGGGAAACCGGAGCUAAUACCGGAUAAUAUAUUGAACCGCAUGGUUCAAUAGUGAAAGACGGUUUUGCUGUCACUUAUAGAUGGAUCCGCGCCGCAUUAGCUAGUUGGUAAGGUAACGGCUUACCAAGGCAACGAUGCGUAGCCGACCUGAGAGGGUGAUCGGCCACACUGGAACUGAGACACGGUCCAGACUCCUACGGGAGGCAGCAGUAGGGAAUCUUCCGCAAUGGGCGAAAGCCUGACGGAGCAACGCCGCGUGAAUGAUGAAGGUCUUCGGAUCGUAAAACUCUGUUAUUAGGGAAGAACAAAUGUGUAAGUAACUAUGCACGUCUUGACGGUACCUAAUCAGAAAGCCACGGCUAACUACGUG